rnacentral:lncRNA from 1 species
AAAGUGCAAGAUGAAAGAACGAAUCUCUAGCCGUUUUCAAGAUUGGGAGAAAAAGGAUAUGCUCACAAUGACAACGCGGUGACACACUUUGCGUUGGCUACAAGGAAGGGAAGGAAGGAAAGUGGAGGAGUGAUGGCAAAAGUGGCAGUGUGGUUUACGUUUGGCGAUGAGGAAAGGAGUAGAGAGGCUCUUGUAAUGAGAAACUGAUGCAGCGAUGCAAAUGAAAAAGCUUUGGUGGGAAUGUAAUUUUAACCCUCGGUUCUUUAAAGAAACAAAACAUAUACCAACAUACAAAACAUGUACCUAUAGUUGUACAAAAUAUUUCAAAAAGACUAUCAUGUUUUGAAAGACUUCAUUUUUAUUAAAACCAAAACAUAUUAAGCAAUUUUGAAAGUCUUUUUUCACUAGUAUAAACAUUAAUGAGUACUUAAUUAUCAGAUUUUGGUUUAGUCC